UGAUCUUACACUAUAGCAUACCAGUAGCAAUAAAUGCGAUGCCGGUAAUCCUUAAAAUGUGAGCAUUGAUGAUCAUCCAUAGCUCAUCACGUGUAAUCAUGCUCGAAAUCAACAAUAUCAAAUAUAACCUGCCAAUAACAAAUACUAUAAGAAUACAGUGCUAAUUAAAUAUUUCAUUAAAUAUUAUUUUAUCUGUAAGUGGCUAUAGAAGAUCUCCGUCUAAGCCGGUGUAAUGUGACAU
rnacentral:lncRNA from 1 species